AUUCCCUUAGUAAUGGCGAACGAACAGGGAUCAGCUUGGGUUGGAAACCGGGGCUUCUGCCUUGGAUUGUGGCCUUUAGACAUACUACCAACGGCGGCGCGAGCGUAAGCCUCUUGGAACAGAGCGUCUACGUGGGUGAGAAUCCUGUGUUUCGCUUGAUGCCCGCCGUGCACGGUACUUGCUCUCAGAGUCACGCUCCUCGGAAUUGGAGCGUAAAUUGGGUGGUAAAUUUCAUCUAAAGCUAAAUACAGGCUCGAGACCGAUAGCAAACAAGUACCAUGAGGGAAAGAUGAAAAGGACUUUGAAAAGAGAGUUAAAAGUGCUUGAAAUCGCUGAACUGGAAGCGAAUGGAACUAGUGCUCUGGUUGAGAGUGCUGUAAAUGGCUGCGACAUCUGGGCUCUGGAACGCAAGUCCUUUGUCUGGCUUGAAGUAGUCGCUUGCAAUGUGUCUCAGCUUGAACAUCAACUUCUAUGCAUACGUGAGGAUGGCCCUUGGCUCAUGCUGUGUUGCUGUGGCGAUACUCUUGUGCUUCUGGGGAUUCAGGUGUGUGUGGAUUGUUGAUCAAUUAGUUCCAUUCGACCCGUCUUGAAACACGGACCAAGGAGUCUAGCACUUGUGCAAGUUCUCAGGUGUCAAACCUCUGUGCGCAAUGAAGGUGACUGCUGGGAUUUUUUGCACCAGCAACCGACCAAUCAAUUGGGAGAAGUUUGAGUAAGAGCAUGUGUGUUAGGACCCGAAAGAUGGUGAACUAUGCCUGCGAA
rnacentral:rRNA from 1 species